rnacentral:lncRNA from 1 species
CCAGGCUUCCCACAGAAGAGGCAGCUGGAGAGCCAAGCACUCUUGGACUACAGUCCUAGGCUGGAGCUGCCAAUACAGGCUCUGCCCAGCUAAUCUUCUCUGAGCCUGCAAAUAUUAAACCUGACAUACAGACUCAAGUGAAUCCAGAAAACAGGCUCACAGGGCAGCUGAAAAUUCCAAGUGCCUAAGUGAGAUCCAGUGCGACAGUGGAGCAUGUGUGCGCAGAGGAGACAGGAACAACAACCGGGAUGUCAUGCGGGCGCACUGGGGCUCCUUGUGGCCCCAGUGCACAGAAUUCUGGUGGACCCACCAUGUGUGGGAGCUCAGUGAGACUCAAAGCCCUCCUCACACAUCGUACGCUGAAGGUGGAGCACACUGGGAAAAUGUGCAUGCAUCAAGAAGAAAAAUGAAAACUGAUUUUGUGCAACAUUUCCACUGUUCUUGGAAGAAUGAAAUAAAUGCAUAUGAGCUAUGAAAUAUGGAUUGUAUAAUUCUAGUGAUUCUGCAUAUAAGUCAGAUGAUCUUAUUGAAAAUUGGCAUUGUACAAUAUAAAGAUGAACAGAAGAGUUCAUACUAAUAAUUUAAAAUUUUAAUUCUUCCUUUUUAGAAGAACAUGGGCAGAUUAAAAAUACCACCACACAUCAGGAAAGAAACCAGAAAAGAAAGAAAACAGCUUUCUAUUUUAAUGCUUUUAACAGUACUUAUGUCUGCUUUUUGAAAAGGAGCCCCACAGAUUAAGUACCCAGUCCUGGGCACGGGAAUACCCUGGGAUUGCUUUACAACCUCAAUUAGCUCUCCUCUCCUCCAACUGGUACCCUGAGAAAGACUUGGGUCCAUGCCACCAUCAUCUCUGGCCUGGACUCCUAAUUGGCCUCCCCGCUUCCCUCCUGAUGCUUCCCAGUCCAUUUGUCACUCAGCUGCCCAGAACAACCUAUUCAAAAGGCAGACCUGAUCUUGUUGAUGGUCCCUUCCAUACCCUCCCUGAUUAUAACUCUUCCCACCCCACUCAAAAUAAAUCCAACCAAGGUCUACAAAAUCUACCUCGUCUGCACACCCCACUGGCCUUGCCCUCACUCCAUACCCAGCCCCACUGGCCAACUUGCAGAUAAUCAAAGGUGCCGCAAUCCAUCCGGCCACAAAGCCUAGCACUUGUCCUGUGCCCUCUUUCUGAAACACUCCCCUGUCUCCCCACCUAGUUACUGCCCCUUAGCCCAUUAGAUUCUCCAUGAAGGGUCACUUCCUCAGGGAAGCAGUCUCCUCGCAUUCCCUAUCCACCCCAGGGGUACACUCUCAUAGCUCCCCAGAAUUCCC